rnacentral:rRNA from 1 species
ACGGGGGGGGCAAGCGUUGUUCGGAAUUACUGGGCGUAAAGGGCUCGUAGGCGGCCAACUAAGUCGGAUGUGAAAUCCCCAGGCUCAACUUGGGAACUGCAUCCGAUACUGGAUGGCUUGAAUCCGGGAGAGGGAUGCGGAAUUCCAGGUGUAGCGGUGAAAUGCGUAGAUAUCGUUUGGAACGCCAAUGGUGAAAACAAGUAGCUGGGGAUGUGCCGACGCUGAGACACGAAAGCCAGGGGAGCGAACGGUA